rnacentral:rRNA from 1 species
AUUGAACGCUGGCGGCAUGCCUUACACAUGCCAGUCGAACGGCAGCACGGGUGCUUGCACCUGGUGGCGAGUGGCGAACGGGUGAGUAAUACAUCGGAACAUGCCCUGUAGUGGGGGAUAGCCCGGCGAAAGCCGGAUUAAUACCGCAUACGAUCUACGGAUGAAAGCGGGGGACCUUCGGGCCUCGCGCUAUAGGGUUGGCCGAUGGCUGAUUAGCUAGUUGGUGGGGUAAAGGCCAACCAAGGCGACGAUCAGUAGCUGGUCUGAGAGGACGACCAGCCACACUGGGACUGAGACACGGCCCAGACUCCUACGGGAGGCAGCAGUGGGGAAUUUUGGACAAUGGGCGAAAGCCUGAUCCAGCAAUGCCGCGUGUGUGAAGAAGGCCUUCGGGUUGUAAAGCACUUUUGUCCGGAAAGAAAUCCUUGGCCCUAAUACGGUCGGGGGAUGACGGUACCGGAAGAAUAAGCACCGGCUAACUACGUG